rnacentral:rRNA from 1 species
CAGUAGCCGCGGUAAUGCGUAGGGUGCGAGCGUUAAUCGGAAUUACUGGGCGUAAAGCGUGCGCAGGCGGUUUUGUAAGACAGGCGUGAAAUCCCCGGGCUCAACCUGGGAAUGGCGCUUGUGACUGCAAAGCUAGAGUGCGGCAGAGGGGGAUGGAAUUCCGCGUGUAGCAGUGAAAUGCGUAGAUAUGCGGAGGAACACCGAUGGCGAAGGCAAUCCCCUGGGCCUGCACUGACGCUCAUGCACGAAAGCGUGGGGAGCAAACAGGAUUAGAUACCCCCGUAGUCCCUGUCUCUUAUAC